GUUGGGCACGGUGGUGCAUGCCUGUAAUCCCAGCAGCUCAGAGGCUGAGACAGGAGGAUUAUGAGUUCAAAGCCAGACUCAGCAAAGGCGAGGCACUAAGCAACUCAGUGAGACCCUGUCUCUA
rnacentral:sRNA from 1 species